rnacentral:ncRNA from 1 species
UAAGUAUUCCGCCUGGGGAGUACGGUCGCAAGAUUAAAACUCAAAGGAAUUGACGGGGACCCGCACAAGCAGCGGAGCAUGUGGUUUAAUUCGAAGCAACGCGAAGAACCUUACCUAGACUUGACAUCUCCUGAAUUACUCGUAAUGGAGGAAGCCCUUCGGGGCAGGAAGACAGGUGGUGCAUGGUUGUCGUCAGCUCGUGUCGUGAGAUGUUGGGUUAAGUCCCGCAACGAGCGCAACCCUUAUCGUUAGUUGCUACCAUUAAGUUGAGCACUCUAACGAGACUGCCGCGGUUAACGUGGAGGAAGGUGGGGAUGACGUCAAAUCAUCAUGCCCCUUAUGUCUAGGGCUACACACGUGCUACAAUGGCCGGUACAACGAGAUGCAAACCCGUGAGGGGGAGCCAAACUCAAAAGCCGGUCCCAGUUCGGAUUGUAGGCUGAAACUCGCCUACAUGAAGUCGGAGUUGCUAGUAAUCGCGAAUCAGCAUGUCGCGGUGAAUACGUUCCCGGGUCUUGUACACACCGCCCGUCACACCA